rnacentral:misc_RNA from 1 species
AAAAAGAAAAAAAAACUUUAUUUUCUACAGCUACAAGGGGCUUCUUCUCUCUCCCAUUUUGUUUAAAAAUCUGUAUUAAAAGGGAGGCGGUGGAAGUUCAUUUAGUUGUUUGAUUACACACUUUUUCAGCGUUUUCUAGUGGUAAUUGAGAAGAGAUAAUCCUAGGAAUGCUGAAAAAUGUGUUUGAGUGUCUCGAAUUCUAAAAGUGAUCAUCUCGAGGCUUUGGGCUUAGUAGAGCUGACAAUUUUCGUUCUUGAGAACAUUGAUCCUAGGUGCAACGGCCAUAGCAUCAUUGCUUGCGCCAAGAUGCAAAGUGCAUGGAGUAGCUGUACAUUGUGUGUUGUGUUAAUAAACGAUAAUUUGUGCGCGGAUGGUUGAGUGGCUGUAGUUUAUAAGGUUUUGCAUCUAAGUUUGUAUGUACUAGAAAGAGAUAUAUAGAUAGAUUUUUUUUAAUGGCCAAUAAAGGAAGCAUACUGAUGGAGCGGUAUGAAGUGGGCAGAUUAUUAGGUCAAGGUACAUUUGCUAAGGUUUACUAUGCGAGG